UCCCACCAGGCUCCUCUGGUGGAUAGUAAAUGUGUAUUUUUGAUGUGAUAUGAAAGUACAGUUCUUUAUAUUUCUAGAACCAUACUGCACUUGAGAAUCGAUUCAUGUUUAGAUGGAGUAUUUGGCUGUUUUGGCUGCCAGAGCCAGUUCACCUCUAAACAGAGCAUGUCAGGUCCUUAUAAGGAUUCAUGUUAGGCUCCUUUAGUCCAUUCUUGGGCUAAUAGCUAGCUAGCUAUUUGUCUUCUGUAGCGUUAUUGCUAAUAAUAUAUAUAUAGCUACGGUAGCGUUGUUGAACAGUUAUACUGUAUAUAUCUCUACUUACUGAGAUCUAUUACCAGUCACACAGAUGUAUAAGGUCUGUACACAUUCAUUCCUAGGUGGCUUCAGGUACAGUGCAUGUUUGAGAUUUACACGAGGGUCCAAGAUGGAACAUCCAAGGUAAGUACUGUCAUUGAAAGUUCACAUUGGCGUGGACUCACGAUGAUUCACGAAACUGUUAAGUUGAUCAAAAAGUUAGCUUUCCACUAUCUUGUAGGGUUUGUCUUUCCUGGACGUGCGAUAGCUGUUUUACCUACGAUGUCACUCACCUGAUCAGUCUCAAAUGAGAGUAGGGAAGUGUUAAAGACAACGGCGCUCUUCACAGACUGGCCACCGUUAGAACGGUAAGAUGCCCUCAUUUCCAAAAAUGCGAUUCAAAAAUCGAAAGAGAGACGCUGUUUCUCAUUUUGUAAUGUAUUGCCGUUGCAUUUCGGUGCAUCUUGGGACCGUACAAAAGUUCAGUAAAGAACAGUAAGAUGCCCUCCUUUCCACUUCUAAUCUCCUGGCAUCUCAAUCGGUGUAUAAUGAAUACAAUUGUUCAUUUUGUUUCAUUGCUCCUUAUCACUUCUGAACGUCUUCACCUUAAAAUGUUAUAUUUCAUUCCAAAGCUAAAUUAAUCAGAAGACCGAGGGUGAAAAUGGAAAAAGGCUAAAGGCGCUAAGAAAAGUGCCAUCUAGUGGCAAGAAACAUGUUCCCCCAAGAUUGCUUCAAUACACUAUGAGAGAGACAUGAACGAUGCAGAGAAAUACAAAGCAGAGACGUCCUUAGCUGUGUGACCUAAAAGCCCUGGCAGCCGUGCAGCGACGCUCCCACAGCCACCACAGGGACUUCAGGACAGAGUCGAGAGCAGGAAAAACUUUGAAGAGUCAGUGAUUCGUCUGCAAGUGCCCCAAACGAGAGAAACACUUAAAAUGAGGAGUGCAUGCUAGGAAUGUCUGGUCAGCUAAGUGACAUCCCACAGUUCAGUGACAUCACAGCCCUGAAGGGUGGAGGGGGACCGGUGAGUUGGCUACAUUUCAGUGACAUCACAGCCCUGAAGGGUGGAGGGGGACCGGUGAGUUGGCUACAGUUCAGUGACAUCACAGCCCUGAAGGGCGGAGGGGGACCGGUGAGUUGGACACAUUUCAGUGACAUCACAGCCCUGAAGGGUGGAGGGGGACCGGUGAGUUGGACACAUUUCAGUGACAUCACAGCCCUGAAGGGUGGAGGGUGUCUGGUGAGUUGGACACAUUUCAGUGACAUCACAGCCCUGAAGGGUGGAGGGGGACCGGUGAGUUGGAUACAGUUCAGUGACAUCACAGCCCUGAAGGGUGGAGGGUGUCUGGUGAGUUGGACACAUUUCAGUGACAUCACAGUCCUGAAGGGUGGAGGGUGUCUGGUGAGUUGGACACAUUUCAGUGACAUCACAGCCCUGAAGGGUGGAGGGGGACCGGUGAGUUGGAUACAGUUCAGUGACAUCACAGUCCUGAAGGGUGGAGGGUGUCUGGUGAGUUGGACACAUUUCAGUGACAUCACAGCCCUGAAGGGUGGAGGGUGUCUGGUGAGUUGGACACAUUUCAGUGACAUGCCACUCCUUACUGCCAUGCAGUGAACGAUAAGUGUACAAAACAUUAAGAACAACAAGUUGCACCCCGCUGUUUCCCCCCCCCCUCAGAACAGCCUCAACUCGUCAGGGAAUGGACUCUACAAGGUGUCUAAAGAGUUCCACAGGGAUACUGGACCGUGUUGACUCCAAUGCUUCACCAAGUUGUGUUAUGUUGGCUGGAUGUCCAUUGGGUGGUGGAGCAUUCUUGAUAUACACGGGAAACUGUUGAGCGUGGAAGAGCCAUCAGUGUUGCAGUUCUUGACACACUCAAUAAUCGGAGGAGCGCCUGGCACCUACCAUGACCCGUUCAUAGGCAAUUAAAUAUUUUGUCUUGCCCAUUUCACCCUCUGAAUGUCACACAAUCCAUGUCUCCAGGCUUAUCAAUCCGUCUUUAACCCAGUCUCCUCCCCUUCAUCUACUCUGAUUGAAGUGGAUUGAACAAGUGACAUAAGGGAUCAUAGCUUUCACCGGGUCAGUCGGUCAUGGAAUGAGCAGGCAUUAAAAUGUUUGUACAA